UACGAAGGGGGCUAGCGUUGCUCGGAAUCACUAGGCGUAAAGCGCACGUAGGCGGAUUCCUAAGUCGGUGGUGAAAUCCUGGAGCUCAACUCCAGAACUGCCUCCGAUACUGAGAGUCUUCGAGUCCGGGAGAGGUGAGUGGAACUGCGAGUGUAGAGGUGAAAUUCGUAGAUAUUCGCAAGAACACCAGUGGCGAAGGCGGCUCACUGGCCCGGUACUGACGCUGAGGUGCGAAAGCGUGGGGAGCAAACAGG
rnacentral:rRNA from 1 species